rnacentral:tRNA from 1 species
GCCCUCGUAGUUCAAUGGAUAGAACAAGGCACUCCUAAGGCUUAGAUGUAGGUUCGAUUCCUGCCGAGGGUACCA